rnacentral:rRNA from 1 species
GAGAUAGCUGGUUCUCUCCGAAAUAGCUUUAGGGCUAGCCUCAAGUGAUGAUUAUUGGAGGUAGAGCACUGUUUGGACGAGGGGCCCCUCUCGGGUUACCGAAUUCAGACAAACUCCGAAUGCCAAUUAAUUUAACUUGGGAGUCAGAACAUGGGUGAUAAGGUCCGUGUUCGAAAGGGAAACAGCCCAGACCACCAGCUAAGGUCCCAAAAUAUAUGUUAAGUGGAAAAGGAUGUGGCGUUGCCCAGACAACUAGGAUGUUGGCUUAGAAGCAGCCAUCAUUUAAAGAGUGCGUAAUAGCUCACUAGUCGAGUGACACUGCGCCGAAAAUGUACCGGGGCUAAACAUAUUACCGAAGCUGUGGAUUGUCCUUUGGACAAUGGUAGGAGAGCGUUCUAAGGGCGUUGAAGCAUGAUCGUAAGGACAUGUGGAGCGCUUAGAAGUGAGAAUGCCGGUGUGAGUAGCGAAAGACGGGUGAGAAUCCCGUCCACCGAUUGACUAAGGUUUCCAGAGGAAGGCUCGUCCGCUCUGGGUUAGUCGGGUCCUAAGCUGAGGCCGACAGGCGUAGGCGAUGGAUAACAGGUUGAUAUUCCUGUACCACCUAUAAUCGUUUUAAUCGA